CGACAUUCGGACGUCGUGCCGCCGGCGUCAGGUAGUGCAAUCGGACCAUCUGGACCUCGGAUCAGGGCCAGGCUACCCGCUGAAUUUAGGCAUAUUAAUAAGCGGAGGAAAAGAAACUAACAAGGAUUCCCUCAGUAACGGCGAGCGAAGCGGGAAUAGCUCAAAUUUGAAAUCUCCGGUGCCUGCACCGGCGAAUUGUAGUCUGUAGGGCCAGUUUCGCCCGAGACAGUGUCCCCAAAGUCGUCCUGGAAAGGCGGGCCGGAGAGGGUGAGAGCCCGUGCGUGGGGGCACGGUCGGAGGUAAGAUCUGUGCCCAAAGAGUCGGGUUGUUUGAGAUUGCAGCCCAAAAUGGGUGGUAAACUCCAUCUAAAGCUAAAUACUGGCACGAGACCGAUAGCGAACAAGUACCGUGAGGGAAAGAUGAAAAGCACUUUGAAAAGAGAGUCAAACAGUACGUGAAACCGUCAGGAGGGAAACGAACGAGGUUGGUGCAGUGAUCGCGCAGGUUCAAGCACUGCCGAAGGUGCUGGCACGGCGGCGGAGAUCGUCCCGAGUCGUCCACCGGAGGCGGUGUCGUACUCCUCGCGAGCACGGACCAGCGGCGGUUGGACCGGAGCCACAAGGCGGCAGCGGAAGGUGAGUCGACGUGGGCCUGUCUCGCUUUGACAGCUUACAGACCUGUCGUACGGUGCUCCGGGUCGACCGAGGAACGAGGGCAGCCCUUGCCCGUGACGGUACACGCCGAAUGGCGGGGGCUCCCGACGCGAGUGACUCGUGCGGCCUGGACUGCGUGCAGUGCUCAUCGUGGCGGCGAUCUCGCGCCGGAGAGUGCCACCUGUGCGCCAGUGCCGCUGGUAUUCGGACGGCCUCGUCCGACCCGUCUUGAAACACGGACCAAGGAGUGCAACAUGUGCGCGAGCCCUUUGGCGAGUAAACCAGAAGGCGCAAUGAAAGUGAAGGCACGGUCGCCGUGCUGAGGUGAGAGCCGUCCCUGGCGGCGCAUCAUCGACCGAUCCUAUCCGCUCCCCCGUGGUGCGGCGGGAUUCGAGUAAGAGUGUACCUGUUGCGACCCGAAAGAUGGUGAACUAUUCCUGAAUAGGGUGAAGCCAGAGGAAACUCUGGUGGAGGCCCGCAGCGAUUCUGACGUGCAAAUCGAUCGUCAAAUUUGGGUAUAGGGGCGAAAGACUAAUCGAACCAUCUAGUAGCUGGUUCCCUCCGAAGUUUCCCUUAGGAUAAUUUUGAUAGCUGUAGCCCGAAGCAGUUUUAUCAGGUAAAGCGA
rnacentral:rRNA from 1 species